GCAGUUAGUUUUGGGGCUGGAAAUUUGAGCAGAGAGAAUGGCAGAGUCUUUUCAGGAGCCAGAAAUGCAUGUGAGGACCAAGAACUUCUAACAGUAGAGGAACUCUGGCUGGGGUAGUUGAGGGGGAGGAGAAAUGAGGAUCAAGGGGGCAUACAGUGCAUGAAAACAAAAGGUGAGGCCCAAGAUCAGCCAAAGUGAGUAAACCACGGUUACCAUGGCUACUCUUCAGUGGAGACGGAAGGAAGCCCUGUAUCCUCCCCUUCCAACCACACUACGCUGUUCCACUCCCCAUCUCCAUCUCCUGUACCCCAGACACACUCAGGCAAGCACAGCACCACCCUGGAUGACUCUGCGGAAUGCCUCUCAGAGACACGGAACUAGAAACCUAGGGGAAGAGGGACAUCAAGGCUUUUGCCUCACAAGCUGACUCUGGAACAAAGAGCCAGGCUGAGGGGCUGGAAGAAGAAACUUCCAGCAGAGCCACCCAGAUAUGCUUCCCCCACCCUCUAGACCUUCCACACCAACCAGUGUCCAGUCAGUCCACAGAGCAUCCUCCUGGGCUGUGGUGACUGAAGUUGAAGGGAAGAAAAUAUAAUAAUAAUUUUGGGCAGGUCGUCUUUCUUUACUGUAUUGGAUGGAUAUAGAAUCAAUAAAUCUAUAGGUUUAUCCCAUUUUUCUGAACAAAUUUAGAGGUCAAAGAUGAACCCUCAAGGGGACAGAAUAUGACCAGCAGGACUAUUGAUAUCGUCUGCCCUAGGCACUCCUCCUUACCCUCCUCUCCCCUAUAUUUUGGGGGCAGUCAUAUUCCUCAGCAGUCAGUUGCUCUGCCUCCAGUCCUAACUGGCUUCUGAAAAACAGUUCUGGUCCAUUCAUUCCCUGUCUCGAGACUUCCGGAGCUUCCUGACCUGUGAAUGAAAUCCACAGGCCCAUCACAAGAUGGCUGCGCUCUCCAGUCCCCGGCACCCCAGGCUGCUCUGAACAUGUGAGAGCUCCUCCCUCAAGGCCUGAAUUUUCGCAGGUCUUCAUCACACUCAGCCCGCCAUCAUUUUUUCAGAUUCAGUUCCAAUAUGUCACUCUGUCUGUAGAGCCUUCCCUGAAUCUCACAGACAAAUGCGGCAGUUCCCUUUGUGGGGGAUAUUCAUCAUGUUUUUCCUCAUUGGCCUAUGUUUUUGCCUCUUCUUGUAGAUGUCCAUCUAGGCUGGGAGCUCCUAGGGGGUAAACGCAGCCUCUCACUCACCUGGCACAGAGUCGAUGCUCAUGGAAUGAUACGUGAUGGGGAGAGUGAGUAAGUGAAUGAAUGAAUGAAUGCUAUUCUGGAAGGAAGAGGGAGAGAGGGAGCAGGGAAAGGUCAGAAGGGGGCCCAGAGUCUUCAGCACACAAUGUGGGUGUAUCACUGUGGCCAGGAACAAUUCGCUUCUCUGCCUGCAUUACUUUUUGGGAAAUGGGAGAGCUGAGGCUCAGUGUAGGCAAACUGGGUCCAGUCAGCAGGGAAGCCAUGAGCUCCACGGUUUAGGGGAGGAGUCCGGUGCUUAAGGAAGCUAUCACGUGGAAGAUCUCCCUGCCCUCCUCCUAUUGGUCUGUAUUGGUUUUUCUUCUUCACCAGUGGAGGCUUUUCUUCUCCCAGGAAGAAUCCAGAAUAGUUCAGACAAGCUUCAGGUCCGCCAGAACCGGGGAAAACAACGUGUAGGGUUUGUUUUAAAGGGCUUUUAAAUGGGGUUUGGGAGAUCCAGGUAGAUUAGAAUCUUGACUCUGCACUGGCUGUGCAAGACAGAAAUUCACCUUUCAAAACUUCUGUUCCCCAGUCUAUGCGGUAAGAAGUUUAGAUUAGCUGAUUUCUAGGGAGAUUUUGGGCAGGCAUGAUUCAGUUCCAUGAAGGGCUGUGGGACAGGACUGCACUAAGAGGUCCUAUAGAUUGGAUUCUUCAGUUCCCUCCCUUCCGCUGGAGAAUAGAGGAAUCUGCCUUCGCUGCACACUAGAUUUACCUGGAGAACAAAUGGAAAGCAGGCCAGGAUCCUGGGUGAAAUGUGGCACAUUUGAGGAGACUUCAACUUCCCUUGCCCUCCAGUGUGGUCUUUUCCCCACCCCCAGACAUGAAAGGGAAGCAGGUCACAAAGCCUUUCGGAUUAUAAAAGAAACACUUGCUUCUCACAAGGGGAGCAGCAGACUUACUCUGUACUAAAUGCCAGGAUAAGCCUCUGGCUGGGCCUCGACUGUGACCCUCCGGCCUCUUUCUACAGCUCUGCCUGGAUGGACUGGCCUAUCUCUGCUGGAUUCCCGAAGUGCAUUGUGUAGAGACAGCAACUCAGAGGUGGGACCAGCUGCCAGGCCCUUUCUCCAUUGGUUGAGUUCAGCAGGUAACCUGAAGCUUUGCUGAGAGGUGCAUAAAUAAAGAGUGAAACUAGUACCACCUCCUUGAAAUGGGCUGAGUCCCUCUUGCUCACCCUUGACUUGGAAAAACCAGUUUCUCUUUUAUUGUCUGUUACUAAUCUCUAUUCUAAAAAUUCAGCUCAAUUCUCAACCAUACUCCAAACUCUCUCUUUUCCAGCUACCUUUACUCCCUCUCCUUCAAUUCCACUUUCCUCUGCUUACUUUUUUUUUUUUUCUGACAGGGUCUCACUUUGUCGCCCGGGCAGGAGUGCAGUGGCUCAAUCUUGGGCUCACUGCAGCCUCAACCUCCCAGAGGCGGGGUUUCACCAUGUUGCCCAGACUGGUCUUGAACUCCUGAGCUUAAGCAAUCCACCUGCCUCGGCCUCCCAAAGUGUUGGGAUCACAGGCGUGAGCCACCGCAUCCGGCCUCAUGUUCUUUUUCAUUAAAGAGAGAAAUCAACUAUUCAGGACCGGCCCCCACCUUUCCUCAGGAGUCAUUUCUGUUCCGCACAGGCCUGCUGAACUGGGUGCUUUAUAUAGGACACUGUCAUCUCUCAAGUACCCAUCUUGGAGGGUACGGACCCCACAUGAGGGUGAGGCUCUCUGCACACUCCAGAAAAGGACCAACCACACCGAGCUCAGUUAUGGCACACACAGUGGGACCUAGACAAAGGGAGAGGGUGACCGACAUCCCAACUAGAUUUCAGUGGAGUGAAGUUCAGGAGGCAUGGAGCUGACAACCAUGAGGCCUCGGCAGCCACCGCCACCACCGCCGCCGCCACCACCGUAGCAGCAGCAGCAGCAGCAGCAGCAGCAGCAGCAGCAGCAAGAGUAACUCUGACUUAGGAAUAGAGACAGCCAGAGAGAAAUGUGAUCAAUGAAGGAGACAUCUGGAGUGGUCCCCAGGCAGGUGGCUGGGACACUAUUUGCAAUCAGCAAGGAACCCUGCUGCCCUUAGACUCCCCACAGAGCAAGCAGAACUUGCAGAAUGGGGUAAAAACACUCUAUUAAAGAUUUUUUAAACCUAUUUAUAUUGUAAUAAAGUAAAUGUAAAUAAAAUUUAAGUGAAGGCAGAUUGCAGAUAUUUCCGAUGCUAUACAAGAUAUAUCUCAUAGUAUGGGUGUAGAUUCUGCAAAGGUUAAUGCAGUUAAACAUAUUUGACACAUAAAAAUGUCAGAUCCAACAUUAAUCAUUCACCAAUUGUAAUUGCCUUUCUAUGGGUCUCUUCUCCCCAAGACAUAGCUUAAAACACCAGGCUCGGUAGAAAUCUGGGAGGAAAAAAGCAAAUAAUACCUCUCAGCUGUCAGGGUCUAUGAUACGCUUUGAUAGAUUUAGCACUGAUUUCAUUCUCUUUACAAUUCAGUGUGAUUGGGUGUGCGUGUGUGUGUGUGUGUGUGUGUGUGUGUGUGUGUGUGUUACUCCAUGUUUCUCCUUUUUAAGGAAGGAGAAGGUGUGGAACAAGAGAAAGUUCCUAAGUCUGAAGGAAGUCCAACCCAGUUAUGAAGGGAAUGCCAUCCACAAGCCUUUUUUAUAAUUGGCCCCUGCCUCAGGUAAAGGGGUCUCCUUUAAGGAGCCAGUCUGGCUAAAUUGGCAGAUUCUGAACAAAGCCUGGCCCUGACAAGUCUUCAGAAAAACCGGUUUUCACCUCCAGAAUGUGCCCCAG
rnacentral:lncRNA from 10 species